GAUGAAGAACGCAGCGAAAUGCGAUACGUAGUGUGAAUUGCAGAAUUCAGUGAAUCAUCGAAUCUUUGAACGCACAUUGCACCUCUCGGUAUUCCGGGAGGUAUGCCUGUUCGAGCGUCAUUUGUACCCUCAAGCUCUGCUUGGUGUUGGGUGUUUGUUCCGCCUCUGUGUGUGAACUCGCCUCAAAACAAUUGGCAGCCGGCGUACUUGUUUCGGAGCGCAGCACAUUUUGCGAUCCAGAUCAACGUACAGCGGCAUCCAAGAAGCCUUAUUUAACGCUCUUGACCUCGGAUCAGGUAGGGAUACCCGCUGAACUUAAGCAUAUCAAUAAGCGGAG
rnacentral:misc_RNA from 1 species